GUGGGGAAUAUUGGACAAUGGGCGAAAGCCUGAUCCAGCAAUGCCGCGUGAGUGAUGAAGGCCCUAGGGUUGUAAAGCUCUUUUACCCGGGAUGAUAAUGACAGUACCGGGAGAAUAAGCUCCGGCUAACUUCGUGCCAGCAGCCGCGGUAAUACGAGGGGAGCUAGCGUUGUUCGGAAUUACUGGGCGUAAAGCGCGCGUAGGCGGUUUUUUAAGUCAGAGGUGAAAGCCCGGGGCUCAACCCCGGAAUAGCCUUUGAAACUGGAAAACUAGAAUCUUGGAGAGGUCAGUGGAAUUCCGAGUGUAGAGGUGAAAGUCGUAGAUAUUCGGAAGAACACCAGUGGCGAAGGCGACUGACUGGACAAGUAUUGACGCUGAGGUGCGAAAGCGUGGGGAGCAAACAGGAUUAGAUACCCCAGUAGUCC
rnacentral:rRNA from 1 species